GACGAACGCUGGCGGCGUGCUUAACACAUGCAAGUCGAACGAAGAGCGAUGGAAGCUUGCUUCUAUCAAUCUUAGUGGCGAACGGGUGAGUAACGCGUAAUCAACCUGCCCUUCAGAGGGGGACAACAGUUGGAAACGACUGCUAAUACCGCAUACGAUCUGACCUCGGCAUCGAGGAUAGAUGAAAGGUGGCCUCUAUUUAUAAGCUAUCACUGAAGGAGGGGAUUGCGUCUGAUUAGCUAGUUGGAGGGGUAACGGCCCACCAAGGCGAUGAUCAGUAGCCGGUCUGAGAGGAUGAACGGCCACAUUGGGACUGAGACACGGCCCAGACUCCUACGGGAGGCAGCAGUGGGGAAUCUUCCGCGAUGGACGAAAGUCUGACGGAGCAACGCCGCGUGAGUGAUGACGGCCUUCGGGUUGUAAAGCUCUGUUAAUCGGGACGAAAGGCCUUCUUGCGAAUAGUUAGAAGG
rnacentral:rRNA from 1 species